CGUGCACUGGUGGGGUCCCUUGGCCUGGCCUGCACCCUCUCACAAUCUGGGACCCUUUGGGGAAUGUCUUGGAGAGCCAGUUUCAGCCCGAUCCUGCAGGCCAGGCCAAGGGACCCCACUGGUGCACA
rnacentral:pre_miRNA from 1 species